rnacentral:rRNA from 1 species
GACAGAGGGUGCAAACGUUGCUCGGAAUUACUGGGCGUAAAGCGCGUGUAGGCGGACUGGUAAGUUGGACGUGAAAUCCCUGGGCUCAACCCAGGAACUGCAUCCGAAACUAUCAGUCUGGAGUGGUGGAGAGGGAAGCAGAAUUCCUGGUGUAGAGGUGAAAUUCGUAGAUAUCAGGAGGAACACCGGUGGCGAAGGCGGCUUCCUGGACACUAACUGACGCUGAGACGCGAAAGCGUGGGGAGCAAACAGG